UGGGGAAUAUUGCACAAUGGGGGAAACCCUGAUGCAGCGACGCCGCGUGAGUGAAGAAGUAAUUCGUUAUGUAAAGCUCUAUCAGCAGGGAAGAAAAAGGCAUACAUGCCUUAAUGACGGUACCUGAAUAAGAAGCCCCGGCUAACUACGUGCCAGCAGCCGCGGUAAUACGUAGGGGGCAAGUGUUAUCCGGAUUUACUGGGUGUAAAGGGAGCGUAGACGGCAGUGCAAGUCUGGAGUGAAAGGCGGGGGCUCAACCCCCGGACUGCUCUGGAAACUGUACAGCUGGAGUGCAGGAGAGGUAAGUGGAAUUCCUAGUGUAGCGGUGAAAUGCGUAGAUAUUAGGAGGAACACCAGUGGCGAAGGCGGCUUACUGGACUGUAACUGACGUUGAGGCUCGAAAGCGUGGGGAGCAAACAGG
rnacentral:rRNA from 1 species